rnacentral:rRNA from 1 species
UACAGAGGUCCCAAGCGUUGUUCGGAUUUACUGGGCGUAAAGGGUGCGUAGGCGGUUGGGUAAGUCUGACGUGAAAUCUCCGGGCCUAACCCGGAAACUGCGUUGGAUACUACCUGACUAGAGGAAUGGAGGGGAGACUGGAAUACUUGGUGUAGCAGUGAAAUGCGUUGAUAUCUACAGGAACUCCGGUGGCGAAAGCGGCGCGCUGGACCUCUUCUGACGCUGAGGCGCGAAAGCUAGGGGAGCAAACGGG